GUCUUCUUGUUAUAUUUAGGAAGUCUGGCCUGCCCAGUGAAAUUAAUUUAACGGCCGCGGUAUACUGACCGUGCAAAGGUAGCAUAAUCAUUAGUCUUUUAAUAGAGGGCUGGUAUGAAGGGUUUAACGAGGUGUUAACUGUCUCAUUUAAUUUGAAUAUUAGAAUUUAAUUUUUUAGUUAAAAAGCUAAAAUAUUAUUGGAAGACGAGAAGACCCUAUAGAGCUUUAUAUUUUUAUUGUUAAUAUAUUAUAGUUUAUUAUUAUUUAUUAUUAAUAAAAGUAUUUUGUUGGGGUGACAAAAAUAUAUAAAUAACUUUUUUAUUUUAUUUACAUUGAUAUAUGAAUAUUAGAUCCAAUCUUAUUGAUUGUUAGAUUAAGUUACCUUAGGGAUAACAGCGUAAUCCCUCUUCAGAGUUCAUAUUUACAGAGGGGCUUGCGACCUCGAUGUUGGAUUAAGAUAAUAAUUAGGUGUAGCCGCUUAAUUAAUAGGUCUGUUCGACCUUUAAAUUCUU
rnacentral:rRNA from 1 species